CUAAUAACUGCCAGCUGUGACGUUACUCGCAGAAGAAAGCACCGGCUAACUCCGUGCCAGCAGCCCGCGGUAAAUACGGAGGGUGCAAGCGUUAAUCGGAAUUACUGGGCGUAAAGCGCACGCAGGCGGUUGGAUAAGUUAGAUGUGAAAGCCCCGGGCUCAACCUGGGAAUUGCAUUUAAAACUGUCCAGCUAGAGUCUUGUAGAGGGGGGUAGAAUUCCAGGUGUAGCGGUGAAAUGCGUAGAGAUCUGGAGGAAUACCGGUGGCGAAGGCGGCCCCCUGGACAAAGACUGACGCUCAGGUGCGAAAGCGUGGGGAGCAAACAGGAUUAGAUACCCUGGUAGUCCACGCCGUAAACGAUGUCGAUUUGGAGGCUGUGUCCUUGAGACGUGGCUUCCGGAGCUAACGCGUUAAAUCGACCGCCUGGGGAGUACGGCCGCAAGGUUAAAACUCAAAUGAAUUGACGGGGGCCCGCACAAGCGGUGGAGCAUGUGGUUUUAWUUCGAUGCAACGCGAAGAACCCUUACCUGGGCCUUGACAUGUCUGGGAAUCCUGGCAGAGAUGCGGGGAGUGCCCUUCGGGAAAUCAGAAACACAAGGUGCUGCAUGGGCUGUCGUCAGCUUCGUGUCGUGAAGAAUG
rnacentral:rRNA from 1 species